rnacentral:lncRNA from 10 species
UAUCCAGCAGUAUUCUUUGUUUUGCUUUAACACAGCCACCCAGGAGUAUUUAUUAAGCACUGCACAGUUUAACUGCCUAUAAAGAUUAGGCCCAGGCUAUUUACUUACUGGGUUGGUUAAAAUUGGCAAUUGGGAUAAUAGUCUUCCCUUUCCAAUGGCUGGUGCAGCUGGCACAUUUCCUGCCAGGUUGAAAAAUAUCAGUGCACUGUUUAAUAUGUCUCUUUGAAGAGAAAUCUGAAGCCAGGGAAUGCAAAUGGAAGCCUGCUCACUGUUUGUUUUUUAUCAGUGUGUUGUACAGAGCGAAUGGCCUCGGACCUUCAAUGGCUGUGCACUGCUUUCUCAGGACUUUCCCUCAAAGGGAAGAACUGACCCUUAUCUCUUUCCCUUUUCUCCACCAUUAGAGCUCAGAGAUCCCAAGAGGCAAAGCGGGGAAAGGUGGGUGACUAAAUCACCAGGAAUUCCCUGAGGUAUCUGUUCUGUGUUGUUCCCUUGUGACAAUGAUGGGUGGCCUUCACGUGUCUGAUGUUGUCCUAUCAUCAGAACCAGGGUUAUCCUCAAUUCUCAGGACUAACUGUAACUCUAAUCCCUUCUCGUGCUACUGAGAAAGCAUAACAGAGUACAAGGGAGUGAAAAUGAUAUUAUUUUAGGAAAAAUUUAAAUUCCUUUAGCUCAGUUAAAAAUGUAGAAACUUUGGAGCUUUAUAUGUUAUGAAUGAAUUAACUGUGACACCCCUAAUCCCUGAUCAAGAUCCAGGGGUGGGCCCAACAAGGAAUGGAGCACUGCUGCCCUUCCCAUGCCACCUUGUUAGGAUUUCAAGGGUGAAAUAGCUCUCCUCUAUCAGCUAAUUGAGCCAGAAGGGACUAUUUAGGAAAAGGAAGGGGAGGUGUCUUUUACUCCCAAAGAUGUAUAUUCCUAGUUUCCUUCCUGUAGUGAAGAUGAUUGGAUAUUUUUAUUUUAUAAGGGUUAAAGACUUCAAACAUAUUCAAUAUUUUCUGUCUUUUUCUUUUUAUCUUAUUCUCUCAGUAAUCUUCAGUCAUCUAUUAAAAAACAAUAGUAAAGGGAGAGUAAGAUUACUAUGAAUGACUUUCCUUUAUACAUGAUAUCUGGCUGUGGUUUUUCAAUUGGGAAACAGAUUUUCAGCCUUCUGGCAAGGUUUACUGAGUAUACAUUUGACUAUUUUUCUCCCUGAAUUUUAUUAUGUAAAAAGCUUCAUAGGAGAAAGCUUUGCCAUGAAGCUGUAUUGCAGGUUUUUGUAAACUUGCAUGGUUAGUGUCAACCAAUAAACGUUUGAUGAAUGAAUGAGCCAAUAUCUUAUGCAAUUAAUAAUGUUGGCCAUCUCAUUUUUUACGGAGUGUACUGUUUGUUCAGUCCAACAUUGCCAAUAAUUACUCUUACCCUAGCCCUCCAAGUGAGGGAAAAUAUGCUCCAUGUUCUCCAGAUUGAAUUCUCAUAGCUUAACAUGGACACCCUUUUUGACUUUAUUAUUACUACAAAAUCACAUAGUCUUCUACUUGUAAGGAACAAUGUACAGUGCAAUGUAGGAAUAAAUACCCUCAAUUAUAGAAAUUAGGUUACUUACCCCUGAUUAUAUAGCCAAUUAGAACAAAGCUUAACUUCUGUAAAAUUAGAGUUGAUGACCUUAGGAAUUAGAAACAAAAACAAAAACCAGCUUUGUUAAGAUGUAUGGUAAGCCUUGUUCUUUUGUGGUGAUUUAGAAUAAGAAGAAUUGGCCAAAUGCAAUGUACCUUGAAGAAGUUUAAGAAUAUUAAUUCACAUCAAGUCAAAAUCGUCACCAUUAUGAAAGUAAUUACAACAACCACUGCUUUUGCUUAUUUUCCAUUUAUGCGAUUCAGCAGUACAAGCAAAAUGAGGUAAAGUUAUAGGUCAAGAACAGUCAGCCUUCUUCAGUUAUUUCUGAAGCCUUUUAUGAUUGUGUUAUAGCCCAAUGUUCACCUUAGACUUGUCUCCUUUCUCAGUUUCAUGCAUUUCUUGUUGCUUAGUUUUAGAAAUCAUUUCACUCUGGAAAGCUUUCAGAUCACAGAUUCCUGCUCAUAAGUGGAUAAAUGAUGCAGUAAAAUUGAACAAACACAGCUCGUCCUACAUUCUGAAGAUGGGGCACAUUUAUCAGAAGAGAAAAACUGCCAGAGAGAAUUCACAUCAGUGCAGACCGAGAGUCUCAGAUGGCUAAGAGAUGUGCCUGACAACUUUUCAGAAAUAAGACUAUUAAAAGAAGGUCAGCUUGGAGUCUUACUGCGAAGAAUUAUAAACAGGCACGUGGAUUAUAAAUAGGGAGUUGGCAUGGUGGUUAAAUUUUUCUAAAACAGUCAUAUUAAUGUGUUCAAAAAUCCACUGCUGAGUCUCAGAGAGAGGGUCACAUCUGGCCAUGAAAAUCUUCUUCUCUGCGGGGUUGCAAUCCAUGCAGCUGUUGCUCACAGGAUGGAAUAAUGUUCUGUCCUGGAGGAGUGAGGAAGAAAAGAAAAGACUGUUGUAAUACGUGGUGAAUGGUUACAACCCAAAAUAUACAGAAGUAAGAUAUUUCUGUUUAUAUUUCAGUAUAUAUUUAUUGUGUAAAUAGAACAGCUCCCAAAUCAAACAAUAGCAGGUGGAGUUGCCCAUGUGGAAUGUGAAUUUGUAGGCUGUAUUGGCACUAUGUAGGGCCUACAAGCAGGUUCAAUUAGAGACAAUAAAUGUAUUUAUUCAUUCAAUCAUCCACUUCUUUUAAAAAAGCAAUCCAUUCAUUUUCUGCUCUGUGGUGAGCUUUUUGCUAUCUGCUUAAAUUUUGAAAAUAGUAAGUAUAUGGGGUUGCUUGGCAAGUAACCAAUAAUGUAGCUAUCUGGGAAGAAACACAUACACAAAAAAUUGUAUUUUAGUCCGCAGUAAAUAAUACCCCCUGCUCACACGCACACACAAUGACUAGAAGAGUCAUAAUUCCCU